AUACAUGCAAGUCGAACGCACAGCGAAAGGUGCUUGCACCUUUCAAGUGAGUGGCGAACGGGUGAGUAACACGUGGAUAACCUACCUCAAGGUUGGGGAUAACAUUUGGAAACAGAUGCUAAUACCGAAUAAAACUUAGUAUCGCAUGAUACCAGGUUAAAAGGCGCUACGGCGUCACCUAGAGAUGGAUCCGCGGUGCAUUAGUUAGUUGGUGGGGUAAAGGCUUACCAAGACAAUGAUGCAUAGCCGAGUUGAGAGACUGAUCGGCCACAUUGGGACUGAGACACGGCCCAAACUCCUACGGGAGGCUGCAGUAGGGAAUCUUCCACAAUGGGCGAAAGCCUGAUGGAGCAACGCCGCGUGUGUGAUGAAGGCUUUCGGGUCGUAAAGCACUGUUGUAUGGGAAGAACAGCUAGAGUAGGGAAUGACUUUAGUUUGACGGUACCAUACCAGAAAGGGACGGCUAAAUACGUGCCAGCAGCCGCGGUAAUACGUAUGUCCCGAGCGUUAUCCGGAUUUAUUGGGCGUAAAGCGAGCGCAGACGGUUAAUUAAGUCUGAUGUGAAAGCCCGGAGCUCAACUCCGGAAAGGCAUUGGAAACUGGUUAACUUGAGUGCAGUAGAGGUAAGUGGAACUCCAUGUGUAGCGGUGGAAUGCGUAGAUAUAUGGAAGAACACCAGCGGCGAAGGCGGCUUACUGGACUGUAACUGACGUUGAGGCUCGAAAGUGUGGGUAGCAAACAGGAUUAGAUACCCUGGUAGUCCACACCGUAAACGAUGAACACUAGGUGUUAGGAGGUUUCCGCCUCUUAGUGCCGAAGCUAACGCAUUAAGU
rnacentral:rRNA from 1 species